rnacentral:rRNA from 1 species
AGCAGUAGCCACGGUAAUACGGAGGGAGCUAGCGUUGUUCGGAAUUACUGGGCGUAAAGCGUGCGCAGGCGGUUUUGUAAGACAGGCGUGAAAUCCCCGGGCUCAACCUGGGAAUGGCGCUUGUGACUGCAAAGCUAGAGUGCGGCAGAGGGGGAUGGAAUUCCGCGUGUAGCAGUGAAAUGCGUAGAUAUGCGGAGGAACACCGAUGGCGAAGGCAAUCCCCUGGGCAUGCACUGACGCUCAUGCACGAAAGCGUGGGGAGCAAACAGGAUUAGAGACCCCUGUAGUCCCUGUCUCUUAUAC